UAGUCUGGGAAACUGCCUGAUGAGGGGGAGUAACUGCUGGAAACGGUAGCUAAUACCGCAUAAUGUCGCAAGACCAAAUGGGGGACCUUCGGGCCUCAUGCCAUCAGAUGUGCCCAGAUGGGAUUAGCUAGUAGGUGGGGUAACGGCUCACCUAGGCGACGAUCCCUAGCUGGUCUGAGAGGAUGACCAGCCACACUGGAACUGAGACACGGUCCAG
rnacentral:rRNA from 1 species